CGCGGCCUAUCAGCUUGUUGGUGGGGUAAUGGCCCACCAAGGCUACGACGGGUAGCUGGUCUGAGAGGACGAUCAGCCACACUGGGACUGAGACACGGCCCAGACUCCUACGGGAGGCAGCAGUGGGGAAUCUUGCGCAAUGGGCGAAAGCCUGACGCAGCAACGCCGCGUGGGGGAUGAAGGCUCUCGGGUUGUAAACCCCUUUCAGCAGGGACGAAAAUGACGGUACCUGCAGAAGAAGCCCCGGCCAACUACGUGCCAGCAGCCGCGGUAACACGUAGGGGGCAAGCGUUGUCCGGAUUUAUUGGGCGUAAAGAGCUCGUAGGCUGCUCAGUAAGUCGGGUGUGAAAUUUCAGGGCUUAACCCUGAAACGCCACCCGAUACUGCUGUGGCUAGAGUAUGGUAGAGGAGCGUGGAAUUCCUGGUGUAGCGGUGAAAUGCGCAGAUAUCAGGAGGAACACCAACGGCGAAGGCAGCGCUCUGGGCCAAUACUGACGCUGAGGAGCGAAAGCAUGGGGAGCAAACAGGAUUAGAUACCCUGGUAGUCCAUGCCGUAAACGUUGGGCACUAGGUGUGGGGCGUAUUCAACGCGUUCCGUGCCGUAGCUAACGCAUUAAGUGCCCCGCCUGGGGAGUACGG
rnacentral:rRNA from 1 species